GCCUCGGUGGUGUAGUAGUGGUAGCGCGCGUCCCGGUAUGGAUGAAACGAGGGUUCAACUCCCGCCUGAGGUU